rnacentral:rRNA from 1 species
UACGUAGGGUGCAAGCGUUAAUCGGAAUUACUGGGCGUAAAGCGUGCGCAGGCGGUUGUGUAAGACAGAUGUGAAAUCCCCGGGCUCAACCUGGGAACUGCAUUUGUGACUGCACAGCUGGAGUGCGGCAGAGGGGGAUGGAAUUCCGCGUGUAGCAGUGAAAUGCGUAGAUAUGUGGAGGAACACCGAUGGCGAAGGCAGCCCCCUGGGAUGUGACUGACGCUCAUGUACGAAAGCGUGGGGAGCAAACAGG